rnacentral:rRNA from 1 species
AACGAACGCUGGCGGCAUGCCUAACACAUGCAAGUCGAACGAGACCUUCGGGUCUAGUGGCGCACGGGUGCGUAACGCGUGGGAACCUGCCCUUAGGUUCGGCAUAACUCCCCGACAGGGGUGCUAAUACCGGAUAAUGUCUUCGGCCCAAAGAUUUAUCGCCUUUGGAUGGGCCCGCGUUGGAUUAGCUCGUUGGUAGGGUAAAAGCAUACCAAGGCGACGAUCCAUAGCUGGUCUGAGAGGAUGAUCAGCCACACUGGGACUGAGACACGGCCCAGACUCCUACGGGAGGCAGCAGUGGGGAAUAGUGGACAAUGGGCGAAAGCCUGAUCCAGCAAGGACGCGUGAGUGAUGAAGGCCUUAGGGUUGUAAAGCUCUUUUAACCGGGAUGAUAAUGACAGUACCGGGAGAAUAAGCUCCGGCUAACUCCGUG